AUGGGCAUGGCGGCCACGAGGCUCACGGACGACCUCCUCGUGGAGAUCCUCGCGCGCGUGCCCGCCAAAUCGCUCGCCCGUUUCAAGUGCGUCUCCAAGCACUGGCUGGGCCUCACCUUCGACCGCAGCCACCGCAGGAGGCUCCCCCAGACACUGUCCGGCUUCUUCUACAGCAGCGCCGGCGAGGAGUGCUUCCUGGAGUCACCUGUCCACUUCACCAGCGUCGAGGGCAGCCGCCGCCCUCUGGUCCGCACCUCUUCCGCGUUCCUUCCCAGCCACCGGCGCGUCGACCUCCUGGACUGCUGCAACGGCCUCCUCCUCUGCCGCUGGUACGAAGUCUCUGCCCGUGCCGACGAGUUCCGUUACGUCGUGUGCAACCCCGCGACGGAGAAGUGGGUCGUCUUGCCGGACUCUGGCCAGGCGGGCGAGGCGGGCGCCGCUCGUCUGGGCUUCGACCAGGCGUCGCCUCACUUCCAUGUGUUUGAGUUGGUGGAGCAGGAAUUUUUUUCGCCGGACUUCCCUGUCUACCUCAUCGGAGUGCAGGUGUAUUCUUCUGAAUCCGGGAGAUGGGUUCAUAAUGAGAAGGCAUGGGAUGAGCAUAUUAGGCUCGCCAAUCGCCAGUCGGCGACUGUCUUCCUUAACGGCCAUCUGCAUUUUCACACCUAUGACGGCGAGUCACGCCAGUGUCUAGCCGCGGUGGACACGGAGGGGGAAACAUGGACGGACUUCCGCGCCCCUGGCGGUCUAGAUGGCGGUCAUAUUCAGCAGUCACAGGGUCGCCUGCAUUAUGCCAAUUUUCAUCAAGAUGAAGAUGCCCGUGUGGUUCGACUAGUAGUUCAUGUUCUCGAGGACUACGACAGCAAAGAAUGGAUAUUGAAGCAUAGCGUUGAAACUUCAUAUUUAUCUGGAGGGACACAUGUUCUUGACCUUAAUGUGGACUUCCAUUUGAUUGCAGUUCAUCCGGAAUGUAACUUGAUCUUUUUUACUGCGGGUUGGGAUACCACCUUCAUGUGCUAUAAUAUGGAUAGUCGGCGGGUCAAAGUGAUCUGCAAUCUUGAAGAUGGCAAGCCGCCAUAUCUGCCGUAUGUGCCAUUGUACACAGAGUUACCAUCACUGCACACAUGA
rnacentral:rRNA from 1 species